UACGUAGGGGGCAAGCGUUGUCCGGAAUCAUUGGGCGUAAAGAGCGUGUAGGCGGUUAUACAGGUCCGCUGUGAAAACUGGAGGCUUAACCUCCAGACGUCGGUGGAAACCGUAUAACUAGAGUCCGGAAGAGGAGAGUGGAAUUCCUGGUGUAGCGGUGAAAUGCGCAGAUAUCAGGAAGAACACCCGUGGCGAAGGCGGCUCUCUGGGACGGUACUGACGCUGAGACGCGAAAGCGUGGGGAGCGAACAGG
rnacentral:rRNA from 1 species